rnacentral:rRNA from 1 species
UACGUAGGGGGCUAGCGUUGUCCGGAAUCAUUGGGCGUAAAGGGCGCGUAGGCGGCCAGCACAAGUCAGUUGUGAAAUCUCCGAGCUUAACUCGGAAAGGUCAACUGAUACUGUGCGGCUAGAGUGCGGAAGGGGCAACUGGAAUUCUUGGUGUAGCGGUGAAAUGCGUAGAUAUCAAGAGGAACACCUGCGGCGAAGGCGGGUUGCUGGGCCGACACUGACGCUGAGGCGCGAAAGCCAGGGGAGCGAACGGG